CAAGUCGAACGGCACCCCUCUCCGGAGGGAAGCGAGUGGCGAACGGCUGAGUAACACGUGGAGAACCUGCCCCCUCCCCCGGGAUAGCCGCCCGAAAGGACGGGUAAUACCGGAUACCCCCGGGCGCCGCAUGGCGCCCGGGCUAAAGCCCCGACGGGAGGGGAUGGCUCCGCGGCCCAUCAGGUAGACGGCGGGGUGACGGCCCACCGUGCCGACAACGGGUAGCCGGGUUGAGAGACCGACCGGCCAGAUUGGGACUGAGACACGGCCCAAACUCCUACGGGAGGCAGCAUG
rnacentral:rRNA from 1 species